CCUACGGGUGGCAGCAGUGGGGGAUAUUGCACAAUGGGGGAAACUCUGAUGCAGCGACGCCGCGUGAGUGAAGAAGUAUUUCGGUAUGUAAAGCUCUAUCAGCAGGGAAGAAAAUGACAGUACCUAACGAAGAAGCCCCGGCUAACUACGUGCCAGCAGCCGCGGUAAUACGUAGGGGGCAAGCGUUAUCCGGAUUUACUGGGUGUAAAGGGAGCGUAGGCGGGUGUGUAAGUCUGGAGUUAAAUCCCGGGGCCUAACCCCGUGGCUGCGUUGGAAACUUUGUAACUGGAGUAAAGGAGGGGCAGGCGGAAUUCCUGGUGUAGCGGUGAAAUGCGUAGAUAUUAGGAGGAACACCAGCGGCGAAGGCGGCCUGCUGGACUGAAACUGACGUUGAGGCUCGAAAGCGUGGGGAGCAAACAGGAUUAGAUACCCUUGUAGUC
rnacentral:rRNA from 1 species